GAUGAACGCUGGCGGCGUGCCUAAUACAUGCCAGUCGAGCGAACAGACGAGGAGCUUGCUCCUCUGACGUUAGCGGCGGACGGGUGAGUAACACGUGGAUAACCUACCUAUAAGACUGGGAUAACUUCGGGAAACCGGAGCUAAUACCGGAUAAUAUAUUGAACCGCAUGGUUCAAUAGUGAAAGACGGUUUUGCUGUCACUUAUAGAUGGAUCCGCGCCGCAUUAGCUAGUUGGUAAGGUAACGGCUUACCAAGGCAACGAUGCGUAGCCGACCUGAGAGGGUGAUCGGCCACACUGGAACUGAGACACGGUCCAGACUCCUACGGGAGGCAGCAGUAGGGAAUCUUCCGCAAUGGGCGAAAGCCUGACGGAGCAACGCCGCGUGAGUGAUGAAGGUCUUCGGAUCGUAGAACUCUGUUAUUAGGGAAGAACAAAUGUGUAAGUAACUAUGCACGUCUUGACGGUACCUAAUCAGAAAGCCACGGCUAACUACGUG
rnacentral:rRNA from 1 species